ACGCUCGACACCUACGGGAGCAGCAGUGGGGAAUAUUGCACAAUGGGGGAAACCCUGAUGCAGCGACGCCGCGUGGAGGAAGAAGGUCUUCGGAUUGUAAACUCCUGUUGUUGGGGAAAAGGAGGAUGGUACCCAACAAGGAAGUGACGGCUAACUACGUGCCAGCAGCUGACGUAUCUGNGCGGCUGACAGC
rnacentral:rRNA from 1 species